rnacentral:rRNA from 1 species
GUGUUACUGCGAAGGGGGGACGGAGAAGGCUAUGUUGGCCGGGCGACGGUUGUCCCGGUUUAAGCGUGUAGGCUGGUUUUCCAGGCAAAUCCGGAAAACCAAGGCUGAGGCGUGAUGACGAGGCACUACGGUGCUGAAGCGACAAAUGCCCUGCUUCCAGGAAAAGCCUCUAAGCAUCAGGUAACAUCAAAUCGUACCCCAAACCGACACAGGUGGUCAGGUAGAGAAUACCAAGGCGCUUGAGAGAACUCGGGUGAAGGAACUAGGCAAAAUGGUGCCGUAACUUCGGGAGAAGGCACGCUGAUAUGUAGGUGAAGCGACUUGCUCGUGGAGCUGAAAUCAGUCGAAGAUACCAGCUGGCUGCAACUGUUUAUUAAAAACACAGCACUGUGCAAACACGAAAGUGGACGUAUACGGUGUGACGCCUGCCCGGUGCCGGAAGGUUAAUUGAUGGGGUUAGCGGUAACGCGAAGCUCUUGAUCGAAGCCCCGGUAAACGGCGGCCGUAACUAUAACGGUCCUAAGGUAGCGAAAUUCCUUGUCGGGUAAGUUCCGACCUGCACGAAUGGCGUAAUGAUGGCCAGGCUGUCUCCACCCGAGACUCAGUGAAAUUGAACUCGCUGUGAAGAUGCAGUGUACCCGCGGCAAGACGGAAAGACCCCGUGAACCUUUACUAUAGCUUGACACUGAACAUUGAGCCUUGAUGUGUAGGAUAGGUGGGAGGCUUUGAAGUGUGGACGCCAGUCUGCAUGGAGCCGACCUUGAAAUACCACCCUUUAAUGUUUGAUGUUCUAACGUUGGCCCGUAAUCCGGGUUGCGGACAGUGUCUGGUGGGUAGUUUGACUGGGGCGGUCUCCUCCUAAAGAGUAACGGAGGAGCACGAAGGUUGGCUAAUCCUGGUCGGACAUCAGGAGGUUAGUGCAAUGGCAUAAGCCAGCUUGACUGCGAGCGUGACGGCGCGAGCAGGUGCGAAAGCAGGUCAUAGUGAUCCGGUGGUUCUGAAUGGAAGGGCCAUCGCUCAACGGAUAAAAGGUACUCCGGGGAUAACAGGCUGAUACCGCCCAAGAGUUCAUAUCGACGGCGGUGUUUGGCACCUCGAUGUCGGCUCAUCACAUCCUGGGGCUGAAGUAGGUCCCAAGGGUAUGGCUGUUCGCCAUUUAAAGUGGUACGCGAGCUGGGUUUAGAACGUCGUGAGACAGUUCGGUCCCUAUCUGCCGUGGGCGCUGGAGAACUGAGGGGGGCUGCUCCUAGUACGAGAGGACCGGAGUGGACGCAUCACUGGUGUUCGGGUUGUCAUGCCAAUGGCACUGCCCGGUAGCUAAAUGCGGAAGAGAUAAGUGCUGAAAGCAUCUAAGCACGAAACUUGC